GUGCUUGCUUCAGCAGCAGCACAUAUACUAAAAUUGGAACAAGACAGAGAAGAUUAGCAUGGCCCAUGCACAAGGAUGACAAGCAAAUUUUGAAGCAUUCUAUAUAAAA
ensembl:snRNA U6 U6 spliceosomal RNA